UACGUAGGGUGCGAGCGUUAAUCGGAAUAACUGGGCGUAAAGGGUGAGUAGGCGGAUAUGUAAGUUAGAAGUGAAAUGCCCGGGCUCAACCUGGGAAUGGCUUUUAAGACUGUGUAUCUAGAGUAUGUGAGAGGGGGGUGGAAUUCCAAGUGUAGCAGUGAAAUGCGUAGAGAUUUGGAGGAACACCGAUGGCGAAGGCAGCCCCCUGGCAUAAUACUGACGCUGAGUCACGAAAGCGUGGGUAGCAAACAGG
rnacentral:rRNA from 1 species